UACGUAGGGUGCGAGCGUUAAUCGGAAUUACUGGGCGUAAAGGGUGCGCAGGCGGCGUCGCAAGUCAGGCGUGAAAUCCCCGGGCUUAACCUGGGAACUGCAUUGGUGACUGGCAGGCUUUGAGUGUGGCAGAGGGAGGUAGAAUUCCACGUGUAGCAGUGAAAUGCGUAGAGAUGUGGAGGAAUACCGAUGGCGAAGGCAGCCUCCUGGGCCAACACUGACGCUCAUGCACGAAAGCGUGGGGAGCAAACAGG
rnacentral:rRNA from 1 species